rnacentral:tRNA from 3 species
GGUGGGGUUCCCGAGCGGCCAAAGGGAGCAGACUGUAAAUCUACCGUCAUCGACUUCGAAGGUUCGAAUCCUUCCCCCACCACCA